rnacentral:lncRNA from 1 species
GAUAACUGGCGGUGCGACCUUUCCGGAGGAGAACGCACGACCACUGUCCCCGCCCGAGAAAGUCGGCAAGAGGCCCCAAAAAUCGCCGCCUCCAUCCCGGUCCCGGAAACUCUUCGCCGAACUUACCUCAGUCGUCUGUUGCCUCCCUUAGGGCUCCUUAUUCUUUUGAAAAAUGAAAAACACUAUAUUAUUCCAUCGGAACAGUUAUUACAUCACACCAAAAAAAGUCAACCCGUUAGAUCGAGUUUACAUCGGCAAAUCUCCGACGCAUGAGUUUGCCAUUUUUCGGGAUGUAAGUCCAACGAUAAUAUAUAUAUAUAUAUAUAAUUAAUUAUGUCAAAAAUGUCUGAACCUCGACGCAACAUAGAGCAUCCUUUCCAUCUUUCAGUAACAUUUAAAUGAUGAUUUUGAGGGUCUUGUCGAUUUAUGAAGAUUGGUACCCUCAAAUAGUCGAUAAUCGAUGUUUCAUUCGUCGAAGAAUCAACAUCACAAAGAUAAAAAUGCGAAUUGAUGAGUCAGCAUCAAGAUUACAAGCAGGACAUGAAGAACGAACUUGGCCAGUGCACAGCUUCUUUGAUCUGCAAAAUAAGUGCAGAGUGGUACUCCGAGGAUGACAUGGGAAAUUGGCCAUCGAGUCAUCAUCACCAAACCGUCCCAUCAAGAAGUGAGAUCUCAUUUUCCGUGGAGGAUUCUGAGCACAUGCUUAGCCCAAUCUUUUCGUCGGACUCUUCCAAAGAUGCUGCAGAUCUAAGGAGCUGCCGACCGAUGGAGAUGAGGUGGGCUCGAUCAGCAGCUGAUUCAUUGGGGUAAGGGUCAAUCUUUGACAGUUCAUGUCAAUAAUAGAAUCUUUCGGUGUGAUCUUCAAUGUUUAUCUAGGCUGCUAUUAUUAGAAACCAAGUACGUAAUAGGAACCACAUCAGUUGAUCGAUCUGAUUACGAACUAUUCAAGCGAACUAAUCCAGAGACAGUCGUCGCCUGCUACAAGACGAAACGCCAUGCGGAACUAUAAUAGAUCAUGAAUCCGCUCCCUACCGCCAUCGAAUCUGUGGGUUGGGUUUGAGAUCGUUUCUGUGGUGUUCCCCAUGGCAAAGAUUUUUAGAACGACUGUUAGGUAAAGUUGCAUGAUGAUUGUCAAAGUAUCUUUCUCCUUCUUUUAGCUUGCAAAUGGACCAUGCACUUCAUGUUGUUCCAAGCCAAGCUCAGAUGUAGUGCCGAUAGACCAACAAGCUAACGCCACUGAUAUCGAACAGUGCCGGUCAUUUUACUUUGUAUACCAUCCUGCGGUUGAAAUCCUCGCCGGAUACGAACUACUUUUCCCCACCUCGAGAAGAUAGGGCGGGAAAGGAAGAGAGAGAGAGAGAGAGAGAGAGGGGGGGGGGGAAAGAAAACCUUAUCAUAGGGUUCUUAACAUCCUUGCCAUGGCCUCUUCAGUCACAUCCGACGCACGUACUUGUGAACUGUUGAAAGCUUCUGUGCCGCAGCUUUCUGUCCCAUCCUCCAAAAUUCCAAACUGGUGGGGGACUGCUCCCACUUCACUACCACCCCUACUUUUUGAAACCCUCAUCCAUGGCUGCUGUUCUGUUAAGCAACUAAAACUCCCAGCAGUCGUCAACUUCGUGAAUCCACAAAGCUCGUUUGACCUUGAACACAACUUUGGACUUUGUAGGAUAAUUACUACCAGAGUUUCUUCUUCUUCUUCUUCUUCUUCUUCUUUUCUUCUAAUUCAUCUAAUGAGAUCUUAUUUUUAUGUUUAUCGUUUUUGCCUCACGAGCUACCUGCCCAAUCGAACAUGUCCAUGGUGUCAGAGGCCUUGUGCCCCCUCUCCUCGUCUGGUUUUGCGUCCAUGUAUCCUUUGGAGAAGAUGAGGCUCAUCGGGUCAGUCUCCAGCUCCGCCAAGUCCGCGAAGAAGUCGUCGGGCUGGUCCGCUUCCGGGAUCAUCGGCUUGUAGCUUCGGUGCAUAUUCUGGUUGAAGUCGUCGUCUUCAGUUGGCUUAUCCAUCUCUUCUUCUUCUUGUUCCUGUUCUAGAUCUAGAUGAGCGUUCGAGGUUGUUGCCUCCCUCCGCUCUUCCUUGGGAGCCGUGGGCGACUUCAGAACAUCGUCGCCGGGGAUCUUUAAGGCGUU